GCCCAUCCGAUGAUCGCGCAGGCGUCAUGUAAUCACCGGCUCGUAAGCCUCGAACGGCUUAAUCCGUGAGACGUCGCGUCAUUACCCGCGUCGUCAGUGCGACGUCGCCGACAAGCGUCGGCAAUCGUCGUCGGCACCGCUGAAAUCCCAGUCAGGGAAGACAUUUAAAAAUAGAGGAAGAAGAGAAAGAUCCGACAAGAAGAGAACGGUAACUACAUGAGGCGAGGGGACAACGGAAGAAGAAGGCUCAGAACCGCGACCUCUCACCUCGUUUUUACCCCAACUCGUUACGCCGACACUACGACCACUUCAUUGAAUGACUCGUUUUAUUUUCCGCUAAACGUGAAGAGAGAUGCUGUAAAAACAGGCUCAACCGUCCAACACGUGUGUCGACUGACGAGCGUAGAGUCGUAUAAGGCAAAAAACAAGAAAGGGCAGAAACGUCAGAGAGAAAAAAGGAGAGGGUGAGAUACUGAGCAAACGUCGCAGAAAGUACGAGUGCUGUUAGAAUGCGAGAAGUACGUUCGCAAUCAGCAGAGCUGCUGUCUGCGCCGGUCCUGUCGAAUUCGCAGGCGUAUCACGUUGUUAUAUAACGAGAUUAUAUCAUUAACCAGCGAGAUGCAGGCAACGAUUGUUGUCGAUAACGAUAUAAAGCCUUUUAAAUAUAUUGGAGAAUCCCUCGAAUAUUCUAUAAGAAAGGAAGUCAAGCAUCUUCAAUAUUUCAAUAGCCCUCUUCGAUCGCCUUUCAUGGGGCAAUGGCGAUUCUAAUGAACCCAUCGACUCGAUCACGUCUCCGAGUGACCCAUCCCGACUAUGAGUGAAUAAAUGAAUUUCAUGCAUGCCUCUUGGAACAAGCAUUGGAAUGCGGCAAUGAAAAUGGUCCACGGAAUAUCGUGACAUCAUACUCAAGUUUCUCCGAUAUGUAUAGGCGAUUAGUACACCUAAUAAAGAAUUAAGAAAAAUCCCAAAA